AUGAACGCUGGCGGCGUGCCUCAUACAUGCAAGUCGAGCGAACGGACGAGAAGCUUGCUUCUCUGAUGUUAGCGGCGGACGGGUGAGUAACACGUGGAUAACCUACCUAUAAGACUGGGAUAACUUCGGGAAACCGGAGCUAAUACCGGAUAAUAUUUUGAACCGCAUGAUUCAAAAGUGAAAGACGGUCUUGCUGUCACUUAUAGAUGGAUCCGCGCUGCAUUAGCUAGUUGGUAAGGUAACGGCUUACCAAGGCAACGAUGCAUAGCCGACCUGAGAGGGUGAUCGGCCACACUGGAACUGAGACACGGUCCAGACUCCUACGGGAGGCAGCAGUAGGGAAUCUUCCGCAAUGGGCGAAAGCCUGACGGAGCAACGCCGCGUGAGUGAUGAAGGUCUUCGGAUCGUAAAACUCUGUUAUUAGGGAAGAACAUAUGUGUAAGUAACUGUGCACAUCUUGACGGUACCUAAUCAGAAAGCCACGGCUAACUACGUG
rnacentral:rRNA from 1 species